AGAACAGGGCAAAGAACUCUAAGCUCUUGCAUUACUUGCAGACACAGAAUUACAUCCUAUGCCAACCCUGCACAGGCCAACUGGGGGCUGGAGACCAGAGGAGUUGUUCCAGGCCUCCCAUCCAAGAGUGUUCGACUAGGUCUCAGGGUCGGACGAAUGUUUUUGUGCCGGCUUUGCUCUGCUCCGCUGACAUCGCGCUUGUGGACAUGGACGGAGAAACCCAGCCGGCUGAUGAUGACCCAGUCUACAUUCUUCCAGGGCAAAACUGCGAUUUGUCAGACGAGAAUGUGCAAGGAUGUCAAAGUUUUGCAUCAUGCAAACUCUGAUCUGUAAAUACUUUCCCAUUCACACGUUAGGGGAAUUCGACUGGCCGACCCGAUCUUUCCUGAGUAUCCAGAAACCACUUUCUCAUAUUAGGGGAAAAUUAACGCUUGUGUGGAAUAAUUCUAAUUAAAAAAAACAAAAACAUAGAGGUAAAACAAUGCAGCUUUUUGUUACGCGGGAUAUAAGCAAUUUAAAAUUAAGGUAUUCAAUUUGUCAGAAUAAUUGCUGCUAUUAAAAUAGAUUCUUUUAAAAAUCCAAUAAAAAAUCCCAGCCCUUGCGAGAAAAGCAGCGACUGGAAGUAUUUACAAACACAACAUGAAACUUAUUAAUGUAGUUAUUCAGGAAUAACAGGGACAACGUGGAUCGAGGGGUAACAGUCACUAGCAAAGGUUGUGCUCCCUUUGGAAACAAGACAAGGAAGUGCCGUACCAUCGGACACUCACCAUGUGUGUCACACACACACUCGCCAGCCUCUUCUCACCUAAACUGGCCCGUGUCUCUGCAGAUUCAACAACCUCCUUAAAUCCGUAUUAUUUCAUCCAUAAUUUAGCAAUUGGAACGCGCAGAUAAAAUAUAUACUAUAAAUAUAUUUUAUCGAAUUGUUUUUGCUUUUUAACGUUGAUUCUUAAUUAAAAUCAAAUUCUACGCACUGGAUGGUUAUUUAUCUCGCCCAGUGAAAGAAAAAAAUAAUCACUGGAAAAAAGCUCUCCUUUUGUUUUACGCACUUUUUCUCCUACUGUGGACAAUCAUACAUCUUCGUUUCCAGGGAUAUUCUCAGUCCAAUGUUAGACUUAUUUUUUGUGAAGUAAACAUACUAAAUAAGUUUUUCCCAAUGUAGGGAAACAAAAUUAAAACUAUAUUUUUCCAUACAGACAAAUGAUAAAACAGUCUUCCCCUUUGCAGCAACAAUAGUAUGUUCCCGCCAUCCCUAAUUGUUUAUCAAUAGGAAAACCAUGUUUUAACAUGUAUUUUAACAAAAUCCAAUUGAAG